GAUGAACGCUGGCGGCGUGCUUAACACAUGCAAGUCGAACGAAGCAUUUAAGACAGAUUUUUUCGGAAUGAAGUUUUUUAUGACUGAGUGGCGGACGGGUGAGUAACGCGUGGGUAACCUGCCUCACACAGGGGGAUAGCAGUUGGAAACGACUGGUAAUACCGCAUAAGCGCACAGCUUCGCAUGAAGCGGUGUGAAAAACUCCGGUGGUGUGAGAUGGACCCGCGUCUGAUUAGGUAGUUGGUGAGGUAACGGCCCACCAAGCCGACGAUCAGUAGCCGACCUGAGAGGGUGACCGGCCACAUUGGGACUGAGACACGGUCCAAACUCCUACGGGAGGCAGCAGUGAGGAAUAUUGGUCAAUGGGCGAUGGCCUGAACCAGCCAAGUAGCGUGAAGGAUGACUGCCCUAUGGGUUGUAAACUUCUUUUAUAAAGGAAUAAAGUCGGGUAUGCAUACCCGUUUGCAUGUACUUUAUGAAUAAGGAUCGGCUAACUCCGUGCCAGCAGCCGCGGUAAUACGGAGGAUCCGAGCGUUAUCCGGAUUUAUUGGGUUUAAAGGGAGCGUAGAUGGAUGUUUAAGUCAGUUGUGAAAGUUUGCGGCUCAACCGUAAAAUUGCAGUUGAUACUGGAUGUCUUGAGUGCAGUUGAGGCAGGCGGAAUUCGUGGUGUAGCGGUGAAAUGCUUAGAUAUCACGAAGAACUCCGAUUGCGAAGGCAGCCUGCUAAGCUGCAACUGACAUUGAGGCUCGAAAGUGUGGGUAUCAAACAGGAUUAGAUACCCUGGUAGUCCACACGGUAAACGAUGAAUACUCGCUGUUUGCGAUAUACGGCAAGCGGCCAAGCGAAAGCGUUAAGUAUUCCACCUGGGGAGUACGCCGGCAACGGUGAAACUCAAAGGAAUUGACGGGGGCCCGCACAAGCGGAGGAACAUGUGGUUUAAUUCGAUGAUACGCGAGGAACCUUACCCGGGCUUAAAUUGCACUCGAAUGAUCCGGAAACGGUUCAGCUAGCAAUAGCGAGUGUGAAGGUGCUGCAUGGUUGUCGUCAGCUCGUGCCGUGAGGUGUCGGCUUAAGUGCCAUAACGAGCGCAACCCUUGUUGUCAGUUACUAACAGGUGAUGCUGAGGACUCUGACAAGACUGCCAUCGUAAGAUGUGAGGAAGGUGGGGAUGACGUCAAAUCAGCACGGCCCUUACGUCCGGGGCUACACACGUGUUACAAUGGGGGGUACAGAGGGCCGCUACCACGCGAGUGGAUGCCAAUCCCUAAAACCCCUCUCAGUUCGGACUGAAGUCUGCAACCCGACUUCGUGAAGCUGGAUUCGCUAGUAAUCGCGCAUCAGCCAUGGCGCGGUGAAUACGUUCCCGGGCCU
rnacentral:rRNA from 1 species